rnacentral:misc_RNA from 2 species
GCUGCCCUCAAGCACGGCUUGUGUGUUGGGCCCCGUCCUCCGAUCCCGGGGGACGGGCCCGAAAGGCAGCGGCGGCACCGCGUCCGGUCCUCGAGCGUAUGGGGCUUUGUCACCCGCUCUGUAGGCCCGGCCGGCGCUUGCCGAUCAACCCAAAUUUUUAUCCAGG